rnacentral:rRNA from 1 species
GAUGAACGCUGGCGGCGUGCCUAAUACAUGCAAGUCGAGCGAACAGACGAGGAGCUUGCUCCUCUGACGUUAGCGGCGGACGGGUGAGUAACACGUGGAUAACCUACCUAUAAGACUGGGAUAACUUCGGGAAGCCGGAGCUAAUACCGGAUAAUAUAUUGAACCGCAUGGUUCAAUAGUGAAAGACGGUUUUGCUGUCACUUAUAGAUGGAUCCGCGCCGCAUUAGCUAGUUGGUAAGGUAACGGCUUACCAAGGCAACGAUGCGUAGCCGACCUGAGAGGGUGAUCGGCCACACUGGAACGGAGACACGGUCCAGACUCCUACGGGAGGCAGCAGUAGGGAAUCUUCCGCAAUGGGCGAAAGCCUGACGGAGCAACGCCGCGUGAGUGAUGAAGGUCUUCGGAUCGUAAAACUCUGUUAUUAGGGAAGAACAAAUGUGUAAGUAACUAUGCACGUCUUGACGGUACCUAAUCAGAAAGCCACGGCUAACUACGUG